rnacentral:tRNA from 1 species
GGGCCUAUAGCUCAGUUGGUUAGAGCGCACCCCUGAUAAGGGUGAGGUCGGUGGUUCAAAUCCACUCGGGCCUACCA